UACUGCUUGCUGCCAAGUGGAAAGAGACACCAAGCCUGCUUCAACUGACCUAGAAAGUAGAGAGGUGGGCGAAACUGCUGAGAAAGCAACAAAACACAGAAACAUGUUCUAUGUGUUUCUCUGAUUAGAGUUGAGAAGAACUCUCUAUCAAAUAGCCAGGAAUCAUCAGAGAGCGGGUUCUACAUUUCUUCAGUAACCGCUUCUGUGUUAUUCCAAGAUGCUCUGAUGAGAAACUGUGCAUCAGAAGAAUAAUUUUUCCAAUUAGAGAAACAAGCAGAAAAUAGUUUCCUUUCCUACAGCACCACACCAAUGCACAUUCUAACGGCCUUAUUCUAACCACCACCUCCCACACCUGCUUCCUCUGGGUGGACAGCUCAUCUCCAUUUGCCUGAGACUUUCCAGUUGCAGCACUGACUGUCUUUAUCCCAGGAAAGGCCUCAGUGCCAGGUCCUGGGGUGGUUGGUCACCCUACAGG